CACGUAGGGUGCGAGCGUUGUACGGAAUUAUUGGGCGUAAAGAGCUCGUAGGCGGUGUGUCGCGUCGGCCGUGAAAACCUGCAGCUUAACUGUGGGCUUGCGGUCGAUACGGGCAUCACUGGAGUUCGGCAGGGGAGACUGGAAUUCCUGGUGUAGCGGUGAAAUGCGCAGAUAUCAGGAGGAACACCGGUGGCGAAGGCGGGUCUCUGGGCCGAUACUGACGCUGAGGAGCGAAAGCGUGGGGAGCGAACAGG
rnacentral:rRNA from 1 species